GAUGAACGCUAGCUACAGGCUUAACACAUGCAAGUCGAGGGGUAACGAGAGGAAAGCUUGCUUUCCUUGUCGACGACCGGCGUACGGGUGAGUAACGCGUAUCCAACCUGCCCCCAACUAGGGAAUAACCUUGCGAAAGUAAGACUAAUACCCUAUAAUUUCCUCAGAUGUCAUCUGACGAGGAAUAAAGAUUUAUCGGUUGUGGAUGGGGAUGCGUCUGAUUAGCUUGUUGGCGGGGUAACGGCCCAACAAGGCAACGAUCAGUAGGGGUUCUGAGAGGAAGGUCACCCACAUUGGAGCUGAGACACGGUCCAAACUCCUACGGGAGGCAGCAGUGAGGAAUAUUGGUCAAUGGGCGGAAGCCUGAACCAGCCAAGUAGCGUGCAGGAUGACGGCCCUAUGGGUUGUAAACUGCUUUCAUACAGGAAUAAAGUUAGCCACGUGUGGUUAUUUGUAGGUACUGUAUGAAUAAGGACCGGCUAAUUCCGUGCCAGCCGCCGCAGUAA
rnacentral:rRNA from 1 species